CCUACGGGUGGGCAGCAGUGGGGAAUAUUGCACAAUGGGGGAAACCCUGAUGCAGCGACGCCGCGUGAGUGAUGAAGUAUUUCGGUAUGUAAAGCUCUAUCAGCAGGGAAGAUAAUGACGGUACCUGACUAAGAAGCUCCGGCUAAAUACGUGCCAGCAGCCGCGGUAAUACGUAUGGAGCAAGCGUUAUCCGGAUUUACUGGGUGUAAAGGGAGCGCAGACGGCAGGGCAAGUCUGAUGUGAAAGUCCGGGGCCCAACCCCGGGACUGCUCUUGGAACUGCGUGGCUGGAGUGCAGGAGGGGCAGGCGGAAUUCCUGGUGUAGCGGUGAAAUGCGUAGAUAUCAGGAGGAACACCGGUGGCGAAGGCGGCCUGCUGGACUGCAACUGACGUUGAGGCCCGAAAGCGUGGGGAGCAAACAGGAUUAGAUACCCCAGUAGUC
rnacentral:rRNA from 1 species